CCUACGGGUGACUGCAGUGAGGAAUAUUGGUCAAUGGGCGUAAGCCUGAACCAGCCAAGUCGCGUGAAGGAAGAAGGACCUAUGGUUUGUAAACUUCUUUUAUAAGGGAAUAAAGGUAGCCACGUGUGCCUAUUUGCAUGUACCUUAUGAAAAAGCAUCGGCUAACUCCGUGCCAGCAGCCGCGGUAAUACGGAGGAUGCGAGCGUUAUCCGGAUUUAUUGGGUUUAAAGGGUGCGCAGGGGGUCUGUUAAGUCAGCGGUAAAAGCCCGGGGCUCAACCUAAGCCCGCCGUUGAAACUGGCAGCCUUGAGUUGGAGAGAAGUAGGCGGAAUGCGCGGUGUAGCGGUGAAAUGCAUAGAUAUCGCGCAGAACUCCGAUUGCGAAGGCAGCAUACCGGCUCCACACUGACGCUGAGGCACGAAAGCGUGGGUAUCGAACAGGAUUAGAUACCCUUGUAGUC
rnacentral:rRNA from 1 species